UACGUAGGGGGCAAGCGUUGUCCGGAGUUACUGGGCGUAAAGCGCACGCAGGCGGUCGCGUAAGAGUGCGGGGACAGUGGGCGGCUUAACUGCCCAAGGGUCGCACAGACUGCGUGACUGGAGGGCCAGAGAGGGACCUGGAAUUCCGGGUGGAGCGGUGAAAUGCGUAGAGAUCGGAAAGAACACCAACGGCGAAAGCACUCUGCUGGGCCGACACUGACACUGAGAGACGAAAGCUAGGGGAGCAAAUGGG
rnacentral:rRNA from 1 species